GACGAACGCUGGCGGCGUGCUUAACACAUGCAAGUCGAACGAUGAACCCGGAGCUUGCUCCGGUGGAUUAGUGGCGAACGGGUGUGUAACACGUGAGUAACCUGCCCUUGACUCUGGGAUAACUGCGGGAAACUGUAGCUAAUACCGGAUACGACCCUCGGCGGCAUCGCAAGGGGGUGGAAAGAAUUUCGGUCAAGGAUGGACUCGCGGCCUAUGAGCUAGUUGGUGAGGUAACGGCUCACCAAGGCGACGACGGGUAGCCGGCCUGAGAGGGUGACCGGCCACACUGGACUGAGACAGGGCCCAGACUCCUACGGGAGGCAGCAGUGGGGAAUAUUGCACAAUGGGCGCAAGCCUGAUGCAGCGACGCCGCGUGAGGGAUGACGGCCUUCGGGUUGUAAACCUCUUUUAGUAGGGAAGAAGCGAAAGUGACGGUACCUGCAGAAAAAGCACCGGCUAACUACGUGCCAGCCGCCGCGGUAA
rnacentral:rRNA from 1 species